UCAUCGUGCAAAAUGGGUUACAGUUUAUAGGGAUUAACUUAAUAUGAAGUUACACUUACAUCUUUGUAAUAGUUCCAGAGAUUUAAAAAUCAUGGCCGUAUUAUGAAUUUAUAUAGUCUUGCUUAGAUAGCUACACUUGCUUUAGUCCUUAUUGGAAGCAUUGAUCUCAGACACAAUAAGAGUUAUGGGUUCUCCAUUUGAUAGUAUGCAUUGAAUAAAUUCCGAAGUCUAUAAUAUAAUUGGACACAGUGAAUUGUGUUAUUAUAGAUUACAUAACAAAACCAUAUAAAUAGAAGAGUUGUUUUCACAAGUACUAUACAUUUUUGAAAGCUGUUUAAUAAAGAACAGAAUGAUAUCAUUUGGAAUAUUCUUCUUGCUGACUUUGCUGUCUUCUGUAUGGAGCCAGGAUUGUUCACAGUUGACAGGGCAAGAAGUGUAUUAUUGUUAUCAAGAGCUUGCUCGGCGACAAAAUAGUGGAUAUAAUGGAUAUAAUGGAUACAAUGGAUAGUUUUUUGUAUUAUUCCUUGCUAUUGUGAUAGUGAUUAAAGGAAACGGAACUAAAAUAAACAAUAAAUUUUUAAAGCUGCUAAACUA